GACGAACGCUGGCGGCGUGCCUAAUACAUGCAAGUUGAGCGAUGAAGAUUGGUGCUUGCACCAAUUUGAAGAGCAGCGAACGGGUGAGUAACGCGUGGGGAAUCUGCCUUUGAGCGGGGGACAACAUUUGGAAACGAAUGCUAAUACCGCAUAACAACUUUAAACAUAAGUUUUAAGGUUGAAAGAUGCAAUUGCAUCACUCAAAGAUGAUCCCGCGUUGUAUUAGCUAGUUGGUGAGGUAAAGGCUCACCAAGGCGAGGAUACAUAGCCGACCUGAGAGGGUGAUCGGCCGCCUUGGGACGGAGACCCGGCCCAAACUCCUACGGGAGGCAGCCGUAGGGCAUCUUCGGCAAUAGACGAAAGUCUGACCGAGCAGCGCCGCGUGAGUGAAGAAGGUUUUCGGAUCGUAAAACUCUGUUGGUAGAGAAGAACGUUGGUGAGAGUGGAAAGCUCAUCAAGUGACGGUAACUACCCAGAAAGGGACGGCUAACUACGUG
rnacentral:rRNA from 1 species